UUGCAGCUACUUAAGCUGACGGGGUCUCUUUCCCCAUGGGGGCCCGGUGUGCAAUGGUAGCCAACAGCAGCGUCCUUGGUAGUGUUUGCAGUCUGUAGCCUAUAUGGGCUGCCCCCAGGGACCUUGGAGACGAUU
ensembl:snoRNA SNORA70 Small nucleolar RNA SNORA70